rnacentral:lncRNA from 1 species
AUUAAGCAACCCAAACUCACCCGCUUUGGUCCCACAUAGGUCCAUGACGUGAUAACUCAACUGAUUACAAGUAAAUGAAGCAACGCUAUAAGUUCCAAGCAAUUAGGCAAACACAUCAGAUGCACAAUUGUAUGACCAAUAAACCGCAACCUUUGCAGAACAACAAAAUCCCUAAAAUGAUCAUACUUGUUUUCUAUUUUGCGAUAUUCCGAGAAGCUUCGAGUCCGAUAACGGAACACUCUCUCGCUGCUCCCUCACAGAAGCAAAAAAAAAAAAAUUCGCAGUUUUCAGCAAUAUAGCUCAGAUAAAGAGACAACAUACACGAGGGAAGAAGAGAAAAUGGACUUGAAAUUUAAAAUUUCCGUCUAGGGCUUAUGAACAGAGGAAAAACAAUAAAUGACCAAACCAAGAUCUGAUCUUUUACCCGGAGGAAGCAACGAUCGGCGCACCCCGGCCUAGAAUUCCGUCAAAUCGAUCAGAAUGGAAAACGAAAGAGGUUGUAUGGAGAAAUGUUAAGAAGUGAGAAGCAGAAGGGUCUCGGAUCCUGUGACAGAUCGAGAGACAGAGAAAACAGGGCAGGGUUUUGAGGAUCGGAAAGAUAGGAGGCCGUAAAAAGGCCGUUUU